rnacentral:misc_RNA from 1 species
UCAACAUCCAUCAUCACCCCCCAAGCACCACACACCAACACAGCACCAGCAGAAGCAGCCAUGGCUUCGAUCUCCUCCCCCUCCUUCUCCCUCCUCCCCUCCUCCCGCCGCCUCGCCUCCGCCCGCCUCACCCCUUCCCUCUCCCUCCGCCCCCUCCCCCGCCGCCUCGGCUUUGCCGGCGCCGCGGCCGAUCCUCUCCUCACCGCCCAUGUCGCCGCUAGGAUCCACGCCGUUGCCGGCCGGGCAGGCAAGGGCCCGAGGGGAGUGGCGGCGAUGGCGAAGAGGAGCGUCGGAGAUCUCUCGGCGGCGGAGCUGAAAGGGAAGCGGGUGUUCGUGAGGGCGGAUCUCAACGUGCCGCUCGAUGACAAUCAGAAUAUCACUGAUGAUACGAGGAUCAGGGCUGCCGUGCCGACGAUUAAGCAUUUGAUUGCUAGUGGGGCUAAAGUCAUCCUCUCCAGCCAUCUGGGACGCCCAAAGGGUGUAACCCCAAAAUUCAGCCUGAAGCCACUCGUACCUAGAUUAUCUGAACUACUUGGCAUUGAGGUAGUGAAAGCGGAUGACUGCAUCGGUCCGGAGGUUGAGAAACUCGUUGCUGAACUUCCUGAAGGCGGUGUUUUACUUCUUGAAAAUGUAAGGUUCUACAAGGAGGAAGAGAAAAAUGACCCAGAGUUCGCGAAGAAGCUCGCUUCGCUAGCUGACCUCUAUGUGAAUGAUGCAUUUGGAACAGCUCACAGAGCCCAUGCUUCAACAGAGGGAGUCACUAAAUUCUUAAAGCCUUCUGUUGCCGGUUUCCUUUUGCAAAAGGAACUCGACUA